CCUUAAAGAAGCGUUCUUUGCAGUGCUCACACAGAUUGUCUGAUAGAAAGUGAAAAGCAAGGCGUCUUGCGAAGCAGACUGAUACGUCCCCUUCGUCUAGAGGCCCAGGACACCGCCUUUCACGGCGGUAACAGGGGUUCGAAUCCCCUAGGGGACGCCACUUGCUGGUUUGUGAGUGAAAGUCACCUGCCUUAAUAUCUCAAAACUCAUCUUCGGGUGAUGUUUGAGAUAUUUGCUCUUUAAAAAUCUGGAUCAAGCUGAAAAUUGAAACACUGAACAACGAAAGUUGUUCGUGAGUCUCUCAAAUUUUCGCGACACGAUGAUGAAUCGUAAGAAACAUCUUCGGGUUGUGA
rnacentral:misc_RNA from 1 species